rnacentral:rRNA from 1 species
CACGUAGGGGGCAAGCGUUGUUCGGAAUUAUUGGGCGUAAAGGGCAUGUAGGCGGUUCUGUAAGUCUGGCGUGAAAUGGUAGGGCUUAACCCUAUCCUGCGUCGGAAACUGCGGGACUAGAAUCACUGAGGGGAAAUCAGAAUUCCAGGUGUAGGGGUGAAAUCUGUAGAUAUCUGGAAGAAUACCAGUGGCGAAGGCGGAUUUCUGGCAGAUGAUUGACGCUGAGGUGCGAAAGCGUGGGGAGCAAACA